rnacentral:rRNA from 1 species
GACGUAGGGGGCCAGCGUUGUUCGGAAUUACUGGGCGUAAAGGGCUCGUAGGCGGCCAACUAAGUCAGACGUGAAAUCCCUCGGCUUAACCGGGGAACUGCGUCUGAUACUGGAUGGCUUGAGUUUGGGAGAGGGAUGCGGAAUUCCAGGUGUAGCGGUGAAAUGCGUAGAUAUCUGGAGGAACACCGGUGGCGAAGGCGGCAUCCUGGACCAACACUGACGCUGAGUGAGCGAAAGCCAGGGGAGCAAACGGG